AAAUAAAACCCGCAAACGCCGGCUGACUAAGCAGGCGAAGCUCAGCACAGAUGAUCCGGUGAUGGGGGUAACCGACCCGCCACUACCGGAGCUAGCGGGAGGUUCCCGGGGGCUCUCCGCCCCACUGGGAACCAGCUGGGGAUCAGAGGUGGACCUCACCGACGCUUCCCAGCCGCUGGAGUUGACUCAGCCCGACGCUUUCGAGGCUAGCCUGCUGGAAGGGCCAGAAGAAGCCGAGGGCGAUCACUCCGAGUCGGGGGGGGAAUCCAUUAGCCUCGGCUCUGAGGAGGACGAGGAUGAUGAUUCCUUUUCCCCCCGCACCGCGUCGCCUAUGGUGGUGGCGGGCGGUGCGUGCACCCCCUCCCCGAACCCGGCCGUGAGCAUGGACCUACAUGAGGCCUGCAAGAGGGCGGCUGUGCGGCUAAAGAUCGAGUGGCCGGAGGCCCUGGUGGAGACCGCCACAUCUCGCUACGAGGGCAAGCGACUCCCGAAGGCGAAGGCUUCAACCAGCCUGCUACUUCCGGCCUUUCCCGAGUGCCUGGAGGAAGCGACCCGGUCUUGGGGCAAGCCUCUCUCAGCCAAGAUCCCCGUCCAGGGUGGAUCGGGGUUGGAUUGGGCCGGUAUGGAGGAAAAGGGGUUCUCCCAUCUUCCUCCGGUUGAACCACUGCUGGCGUCGCACCUCCACCCCACGCAGAAGUCCGCCAUGACUUCAGCGAGCCCUACACUGCCGUCCAGAGCCGACUCCUUCCAGUCAUCAAUGACCGAGAAGGGCUACAAGGCGAUGGCGACGACGGUGAAGGCGCUCAACGCGUCGUCGCUGCUGCUGGCCUACCAGGCUGAGCUGGAGCUCGACAUGUCCUCGUCACCCACCCCAGCCCUUUGGGAUGAACUGUGCGUGGUGACGGACCUGUGCCUGCGCCUUCACAGGAGCGCUGUCCAGGCGUCCGGAAGGGCCAUGGCGCUGAUGGUCGCUCAGGAGAGGGCGAGGUGGCUGAACCUCUCCAGUCUCUCUCUGAGGGAGAAAACCCAACUCCUAGACGUGCCUGUGGACCCGAAAGGCCUGUUUGGCCCGGCGUAUGAUGUCAUGCUGAAACGCUGGGAGGAAAAAAAGAGGGAGGGUGAGGCGCUGCGACUGUGUCUUCCCAGAAGAGCGCCUUUCCCCGCCAACGCACCCGGCCAGGUGUUCACCCAGCCCCGCGCUCCUCCGCCGGCUUACCGCGGCCAGAAGCGUCAGCCCCACCCAACCCACAGGGCCGGCCGGGGCCAGAACAAGCCGCCGGAGCACAGUGGCGCGUGGGCGAGGAAGCCACCCGCGCCCGGGGUGGCGCCAGGUGGCCGUGCAGCCCCUUCGGCUACUCAGGGGGCCGGGAAGAAACGGCGCGCUACCUGAGGCGCUGCGACCAGGGGGGUGCGGCAGGCCCGGCCAGACGCCGUCGCCGUCCCCCCUAGGUGUUCUGUUCCAAACCCGGUUCCAAGAAGGGUUACAGAGGGCAUGUUCCAAGCCCUGCAAAAGACGUGCAGAAGGCCAUACAGCCUUCACAGUUCACGACGCGAAGGAGAGAAGGGUCGGACCUGCAGAGAGCUCGGUGGAGCCGCAGCAGUGUCUCGCAGACACAUGCAUGUGUACAAGCACACACCAGUGCCCAACAUCACACAUGUGUCCCCCUUCCCCAAAUCAUUAUUCAUUAAAAAUGUUUGCCAGCGCGCAUCCAGGCUCCGAGCCGAGGGCGCAGCUGCUUGUGAAAACAAAAAAAAUGAAAAAAAUGAUAAACAUAAAAAAGGAACAGAACGUAAUAAGACGGUGCCUGGUGGGCGUGCGCUCCGGUGCGCAACCCACCACGCCCGUUCGGGCCGGCACGACAGCGGAACCAGCGACGCUGGGACCGCUGGCUGGCCGGGCUCAACAGUGGCGGGCAUGUGGUGCGUC
ensembl:lncRNA